AAUAGGUACGAGUGCAUGCUGUCACAGAAAUAUUCUGUGUAUAUUUACCACACACGACUGGUUCUAAGGGUGACUCUUUGAUGUGACUUCUGCAACAGUGCAGCUCAUUGACAUUCUGGGAGUGGUUGCUGUGCUUGUGGCUGGACAUCAGUGUUUCAUCGCAUCAUCAUAACAUCACUCGUUUACUAACUCUAUGUCAUCUGAGAGACCUGUGCUAAAGUGAAGGGUAAGGAAAGGUAUGAGAUGUUGAAAAUGAUCAACGAAAGUUUGGAAAUUAACGACAUGGUAUAUAAGGACAAAUAUCUUCAACUACUAUCUCCCAAGGGCAAGAAGAGAAAGAACGAUGAUAGAGUUUAGAGUUGGGAAAGAUGGAAGGCUGUGGUAAGUCCUCAACCCAGCAAAAGUCCAGGGGACGCCAGGGGUCGAAUUUCCUUAGGAGUUCUCGUCUGGCCAUCUUGGUGAAGAUCUUUGUUAAUUUUAAGGUAGCUGGGGUUAGAGAGGUAUCUACAGUACUAUCUAUCUGAAAUUUUGCUAUUGAUUUUCUAUAUUUUCAUGUAUGCAUCAUGUAUUUUUCUUUUGAAUUACUCUGUAUUUUUGGUUUUGAUUUAAGGAAAAGGUUGUGGCGAGUCUUUUGAUAAGACUCGAGUGGGGGAUUGGUGUGUGGAGAUUCUAAGAAAUCCACAUGGUGAUAGAGAUUCUGAGAAGAAGUUCACGUAUUUAAAUUAAACCCAAGUGUUGUUAAGAGAUUCUGAGAAGUCACAUACUCAAAAUUUGUUCUAUUCAUAAUGAUAAGUUUCAUUUCAAAAGUUAAAAAUUAAUAUUUCAU
ensembl:lncRNA